rfam:Lobosporangium transversale strain NRRL 3116 BCR41scaffold_85, whole genome shotgun sequence.
GCCAUUGUAGUAUAAUGGUUAGUAUAUCUCGUUGUGGCCGAGACGAUCCUGGUUCGAUUCCAGGCAAUGGCA